AAGAUUAUACUUUCAGGAAUCAUUUUUUAUAGUGUUUGAUUUGGAAAUGUGUUUCGAAAGUGUUUAGUUUUUCAAACCACGAUGAUGAGUUAUGUUACUUUUUUCUGAGCGUGAGUCGGGUGUGAAGUAAUGAUUAGUUUCAUGUCUUUUGCAUCAUUGAUGAACGUUCUUCGCUGUUUGUAACAGUAAAGAGGAAAGGAGUAUGAGCAGAGUGGU
rnacentral:snoRNA from 1 species